UGCCAGCAGUCGCGGUUAAACCAAGAAAUUUAGUCAUUCUUUUACGGUAAAAAGACAGUUAGACAAAUAGUUAAAUUAUUGGAUCUUUAGUAAAGGAGUAAAAUCUAAAUACUAGAAGUUAUACCAGAUAUAGUUUAUUUAAGAUGUUGAAUCUGUGACAGCUUUAAGGGAAACUGGGAUUGGAUACCCCAUUAUUUUUAGUUAUAAAUUUAGUUUAAGCUUACCAGAGUACUACGAAUAAAAAGUUUAAAACUCAAAGGGCUUGGCGGUGUUUUAGACCUCUCAGGGGAACCUGUCUCAUAAUCGACAAUCCACGUUAAACCUAACCUUUUGUAGUAAUACAGCUUGUAUACCGUCGUCGUCAGGUAACUUCUUAAAAUAUAGUAGUUAGCUUGAGAAUUUUAUUAAUUAAAACGUCAGAUCAAGGUGCAGCUAAUGAAAAGGUGAGGAUGGGUUACAAUUACAUAUUUGUAAACACGGAAAAAUGCUUGAAACGGAGUAUUUUAAAGGAGGACUUGAAAGUAAUUUUGAUUAUAUAAGUGGAAUGAAUAAGGCUCUGAAACGUGCACACAUCGCCCGUCGCUCU
rnacentral:rRNA from 1 species